AUACGUAGGGUGCGAGCGUUGUCCGGAAUUACUGGGCGUAAAGAGCUCGUAGGUGGUUUGUCGCGUCGUCUGUGAAAUUCCGGGGCUUAACUCCGGGCGUGCAGGCGAUACGGGCAUAACUUGAGUACUGUAGGGGAGACUGGAAUUCCUGGUGUAGCGGUGAAAUGCGCAGAUAUCAGGAGGAACACCGGUGGCGAAGGCGGGUCUCUGGGCAGUAACUGACGCUGAGGAGCGAAAGCAUGGGUAGCGAACAGGAUUAGAUACCCUGGUAGUCCAUGCCGUAAACGGUGGGCGCUAGGUGUAGGGGUCCUCCACGACUUCUGUGCCGUAGCUAACGCAUUAAGCGCCCCGCCUGGGGAGUACGGCCGCAAGGCUAAAACUCAAAUGAAUUGACGGGG
rnacentral:rRNA from 1 species